GUUUGAUUCAAAUCUUAUCAAAUUAAGCAUUGAUUAACACCUAGCACAAAGAACUGUUGAUCUUAUCUUCAGUCUCAAUGUUCCAAAUUAUUGGAUUGCUUUACCAAACAAUUAAUAUAUAAUGCCAAUUGUUUUUCCUUCCCUAUAAUACACAAAACAUAUUCCAAACAACAUCAUCCUGUAGUCUGGUUGUGGUUUUCCUUGUCAUGCAUGACAAUCAAUUUUCUUUCAAUUUC